AUCAGAGCUUCCAGUCUAACACAGACUACGAAGGACCUGGCCACCUACUUCCAAAAAAUUGGCCAUGAAACCGUAGGAACAGCAGGGAGCAUUAUGUGAUAGAGCGCCGGAAGGAAGAUGAGCCCUGAGCUAACAUCCACCAAACCUCCCCUUCUUGCUGAGGAAGACUGGCCCUGAGCUAACAUGUGUGCCCAUCUUCCUCUAUUUUAUGUGGGACACCUACUACAGCAUGGCUUGCCAAGCGGCGUCAUGUCCAUGCCCCAGAUGCGAACCGGCGAACCCCGGGCCGCUGAAGCAGAACGUGUGAACUUAACUGCUGUGCCACUGGGCCAGCCCCUGUAUGUUACUUUUUAAACAUUUUAAUUUUAACAGGAUUCAAUAACUAGAAAACAUUGAGAGAAAAGUAAAAAAAAAAUUUUUAUUUCU